GAUGAACGCUGGCGGCGUGCCUAAUACAUGCGAGUCGAGCGAACGGACGAGAAGCUUGCUUCUCUGAUGUUAGCGGCGGACGGGUGAGUAACACGUGGAUAACCUACCUAUAAGACUGGGAUAACUUCGGGAAACCGGAGCUAAUACCGGAUAAUAUUUUGAACCGCAUGGUUCAAAAGUGAAAGACGGUCUUGCUGUCACUUAUAGAUGGAUCCGCGCUGCAUUAGCUAGUUGGUAAGGUAACGGCUUACCAAGGCAACGAUGCAUAGCCGAUCUGAGAGGGUGAUCGGCCACACUGGAACUGAGACACGGUCCAGACUCCUACGGGAGGCAGCAGUAGGGAAUCUUCCGCAAUGGGCGAAAGCCUGACGGAGCAACGCCGCGUGAGUGAUGAAGGUCUUCGGAUCGUAAAACUCUGUUAUUAGGGAAGAACAUAUGUGUAAGUAACUGUGCACAUCUUGACGGUACCUAAUCAGAAAGCCACGGCUAACUACGUG
rnacentral:rRNA from 1 species